rnacentral:rRNA from 1 species
AAGGUGCGAUAAGGGGACUCCGAGUGUGAAGGCAUAGAGCCUUCACUUUUGUACACCGUAAGGUGGUGCACGAAUAAGGACUGGGCAAGACCGGUGCCAGCCGCCGCGGUAAUACCGGCAGUCCGAGUGAUGGCCGAUCUUAUUGGGCCUAAAGCGUCCGUAGCUGGCUGAACAAGUCCGUUGGGAAAUCUGUCCGCUUAACGGGCAGGCGUCCAGCGGAAACUGUUCAGCUUGGGACCGGAAGACCUGAGGGGUACGUCUGGGGUAGGAGUGAAAUCCUGUAAUCCUGGACGGACCGCCGGUGGCGAAAGCGCCUCAGGAGAACGGAUCCGACAGUGAGGGACGAAAGCUAGGGUCUCGAACCGGAUUAGAUACCCGGGUAGUCCUAGCUGUAAACGAUGUCCGCUAGGUGUGGCGCAGGCUACGAGCCUGCGCUGUGCCGUAGGGAAGCCGAGAAGCGGACCGCCUGGGAAGUACGUCUGCAAGGAUGAAACUUAAAGGAUUGGCG